CUACUGAUGGCAUCGCAGUGAAACUGCUACGCGGGGACACAUGGCUGCCUGGGAUAACUGUAAGUCAAUACCAUCCUCCUGGGCAAAACCAGCAGGUACGGUCAGUAGCUGAGAGACAACCUGGGAAUGCUUCAGAUCAUGCAUUCAGAAGGCUGGAAUCUUACCAACCAGGUUCUGAAGAACUAACAGAUGACCACCCAUCAGACUACAGAGGGGUUUUUAUUGCAUCCAGGUUGGAAUUAGCCCAAA
rnacentral:lncRNA from 1 species